GACAGAGGAGGCAAGCGUUAUCCGGAAUUAUUGGGCGUAAAGCGUCCGUAGGUGGUUUGGCAAGUCUGGGGUUAAAGCCCGGAGCCUAACUCCGGAUCGGCCCUGGAAACUGCCAGACUAGAGUAAGGUAGGGGUUGCGGGAAUUCCCGGUGUAGCGGUGAAAUGCGUAGAUAUCGGGAAGAACACUAGUGGCGAAAGCGCGCAACUGGGCCAUUACUGACCCUGAGGGACGAAAGCUAGGGGAGCGAAUGUG
rnacentral:rRNA from 1 species